rnacentral:rRNA from 1 species
GAUGAACGCUAGCGGCAGGCCUAACACAUGCAAGUCGAGGGGUAGCAGGAUUAAGCUUGCUUAAUUGCUGACGACCGGCGCACGGGUGCGUAACGCGUAUGCAACCUACCUUAUACUGGGGUAUAGCCCGGAAAAUUCGGAUUAAUCCCCCAUAGUACUAAUGAAUCGCAUGGUUUAUUAGUUAAAGCAUUGCGGUAUAAGAUGGGCAUGCGUCCUAUUAGCUAGAUGGUGAGGUAACGGCUCACCAUGGCUACGAUAGGUAGGGGGCCUGAGAGGGUGGUCCCCCACACAGGUACUGAGACACGGACCAGACUCCUACGGGAGGCAGCAGUGAGGAAUAUUGGUCAAUGGGCGCAAGCCUGAACCAGCCAUGCCGCGUGCAGGAAGAAUGCCCUAUGGGUUGUAAACUGCUUUUAUUUGGGAAUAAACCUCUUUACGUGUAGAGAGCUGAGGGUACCAAAUGAAUAAGCACCGGCUAACUCCGUGCCAGCCGCCGCAGUAA